CUAAGGGAAAGUUCGAUACUAAAUCUACUAAACUUAGAUCGGUUGAUAGAUUUUUAAUAAGUUUAGAAAGUUACAGUCAAAAGCUGAAUUGUUUAAAAACUUGACAUAUAGUAUGUUGUUAAAAUUCUACAAUAGUAUGAAUUAAAAUAAAGCUAUUCUUCAAUAUAUUUGUUUUACAAGUUGGAACGCUAAAUUUACGUUUAUUUCUAAGGUUUACAUUAAGAUCAGGAAGAAGAUGUUGUAGUUUGUGGUCAGGGUCUUAGCCAGGAUUUGCAACUUGGGUGUCCAAAUUUGAAAUUUCAUUUAUGACACCCAUAUUUUACCAUAUGGAACCAUGGCACCACUUCAUGCACCAGUAAUUCAAUGUAAUUAUUUCCGAAUGCUGGGAGUAAUCGGUGACCGCACUUGAGAAUCGCUCAAAAAACUAAUAAUAUAUUCAAUUAUUCAGACUAUGUGACUACUCAUUACACUGACUACAGUAGUACAGUUUAAGUAAAUCUGCCAAUAUAUUAAUCUUAUGAUUGAUAUUAUGUUGUCACUUUCAUGCUAUAAAUACAAUACUUGUAGCUUUGAUAAGCUAUAGUGUGAGUGAAGAGCAACUAAUUAUCUUAUAUAGUUAUAUUCUACGGUUUUUGGCAGCUAGGCCUAGGAAUCUUUGGUUCGGCAGAUUUGGCAGCUUGCAAGUGAGCAAUGUUUAUGUUUACCGCCCAAAAGCCGUCUUUUUUAGAAGGCCGUCCAAAUUUGAAAAUGGCCGUCCAAAAGACGGCUGGACGGUAGGCUGGCUAAGACCCUGUUUGUGGUUAGGAUCACGGCAAAUUUCAUGAAACUGUGUCUGAAACUCUGUCUUGCAGACCACUAAUGGUUAGUAUUUUAUUUACCACAUAUGACCACCCGUCAAUAGUGAGUUUGGAAAAGAUAAUGUUUACGCAUCACAUUCCAAACAAUCCCUGACUAUCGUAACGUUUCUGUGCUCUCUUGACUCUUGUUAUCAAUUUUAUGUUUUGCUCCAGUUUCGCCCCAAAUUCCACUGAUGGGGAAUUCCUGUUGAAAAAUAACUGCAAAUUGUAAAGCGUAUCAGUAUUUAUUGGAUCAGUAAAUUUGAUUUUGCUCCAUCGGCUCAUCCCUAUCAAGGGGGAAAGUGUUUCGUGUUCAUAAGAAAUGUGGCCAUUGCAAUGACUUGAGACCAAAGAAGAAACUGAAAUAAGUUGUAACUGAACAGUUGACACAUUAUGAAAUAAACUUUCUUUGAAAUGUUUAAUUGCGUCGGAUGAUUGACUGCUAGACUGAUCUUGAACGUUCCAGUUAUAUACUGAGGCCGGUUGUACGAAGGCUGAAUAGAGAUUUUUUCAAGCUUUCUUAAAAGUUGUCCGUUAAUUGGUAAAAUUAAGAAUUAUUUUUAUUACUUGUGAAGUCCUUGUCCGUGUUUUUUUGGAGCUUCUCAAGCAAUUUUACAACGGUUGAAAAAUCGUUAUCCGGUGGUAAGGUUAUCCGGCCUUCGUAAGCCGUUUGCCAUUACCGCCGAUUUGCCCGAUCGGUAAUGGAAAACAUUCGUUGUAGCUGUCCAGCUUGACAGUUUCAGUCUGCUUCAUUCUGCUGGGUUGUACCAAUCAACUGACAACUUUAGAAAGCUUGAAAUAUCGCUACCGGGUUCGUACAAGUUACAACCGACCCCUGGUCCCCUGGAGUAUAUCAUUACACACGUGUCUUUAACAACCUCGUCCCCAUUGCCUUCAUUAAGCCCUGGUCGAACACCGCGGUCAAACGUACGAAAUAGUAUUGUCUUUACCGAGAGUUUUUAAACUCGUAAUUUUGAAGAUAACUUCGUCUUUGACUUAACACUAGUUAACCCAUUGACCCGCAAUGCGCCCCAGUGCAAGGAAAAACUGAGUUGUAAAUUUCUCCACCUUAUACCUUCAGCCGUUUCCUCAUAGUAGUGAACACUUUUCUUCUCUCGUAUGUACUGCUAUUAUUUUGGCAGUCAUUUUCGGAGAUUCACGCAUGCACUUUGCUUUUGACAGCGGUGUUAAUCGAACGAGAGUCAACCUCGUACCCAGGCAAGCGCAGAAGCACUGGGUACGAGGUUGCAUGUGAGUUGAUUGGAUAUAACAAUAGAAUAAGGUUAGGAAACUCGAUGCAGUCAUAAUAGACCUCGUGAUAUAACCAACUGUCUUUGAACCAGCUGAAAGUUGGCGAAAGUACAUGGCAGUUGAUGGUCAAACGCAAGCGAGAGUUGCAACUCCCGUCCUCGUUUGACCAGGGCUUUACAUUUAGGGUUUAAAAUUUCUGUAUGUUUUCAUGAUAAAGCCAGGGCUAUGUGGGUAUGGUACGCUCAAUUAUAUCUAAAAAUUUGGGGUUAAAUGGGGUGCCAGCAUGUAAAAUGCUUCACGGGGUGCCAGCAUGUAAAAUGCUUCACGGAUUGCCAGCAGUUUCACCAUCCGCGAAGCAUUUCACGAUCCGCACGGUCGGAUCGUCCACAUUAAUGGGCGGGGGGUCUGCCACCGCACGUGUUUCGGAGUUUACUAUAUGGCAACGUGCGAAUGAUUUACU
rnacentral:lncRNA from 1 species